rnacentral:rRNA from 1 species
CUCAACCUCGGAACCGCAUUUGAAACUGGUGAACUAGAGUGCUGUAGAGGGGGGUAGAAUUUCAGGUGUAGCGGUGAAAUGCGUAGAGAUCUGAAGGAAUACCAGUGGCGAAGGCGGCCCCCUGGACAGACACUGACACUCAGAUGCGAAAGCGUGGGGAGCAAACAGGAUUAGAUACCCUGGUAGUCCACGCCGUAAACGAUGUCUACUUGGAGGUUGUGGCCUUGAGCCGUGGCUUUCGGAGCUAACGCGUUAAGUAGACCGCCUGGGGAGUACGGUCGCAAGAUUAAAACUCAAAUGAAUUGACGGGGGCCCGCACAAGCGGUGGAGCAUGUGGUUUAAUUCGAUGCAACGCGAAGAACCUUACCUACUCUUGACAUCUACAGAAUUCGCUAGAGAUAGCUUAGUGCCUUCGGGAACUGUAAGACAGGUGCUGCAUGGCUGUCGUCAGCUCGUGUUGUGAAAUGUUGGGUUAAGUCCCGCAACGAGCGCAACCCUUAUCCUUGUUUGNCAGCACGUAAUGGUGGGAACUCCNNGGAGACUGCCGGUGAUAAACCGGAGNAANGUGGGGACGACGUCAAGUCAUCNUGGNNNUUACNAGUAGGGCUACNCNCGUGCUACNAUGGNGCAUACNGAGGGNUGNAGCUAGCGAUAGUGAGCGAAUCCC